CUUGUAUGAAGGGUUUGAUGAAAAAAUAGCUGUCUCUAUUUAAAUUUAUUAGAAUUUUAUUUUUAAGUAAAAAAGCUUAAAUAUUUAUAGAAGACGAGAAGACCCUAUAGAGUUUUAUAAUUUUAGGUAUAUUUAUUAUUUUAGGUAUCAUAAGAUAUUUAUUUUUAAAAUUAUUUAGUUGGGGUGAUUGAAAAAUUUAAUAAACUUUUUUAGUAAGAAAAUAUUUAUUUGUGAAUAAUUGA
rnacentral:rRNA from 1 species